UUUCCAAACAAUAUUCAGGAGAAGAUGCUGGAUUCGUCUUUCGUAAAUGUGCGGUGUUGCUGCUGUUCUCCGGAUCGAGCCAAUUUCACGGCAGGGUGCUCCAAGCAGGCUGCAGCCACGGAGCAGAAAGCCGAGAGAGAGAAAACAGCUGCGAGAGCCUUCCGUGUGCCAUCUGUCCCCAGAUUCACCCCGAGCAUCCCAGGACGUACCCUAGGCUGCUGGGCCCUGCGCCUCCCGAGCGUAACCUCGAGAGUAAGUGGGAAAACCCUUGGGGAGCCCAAUGGGGAGACAUUGCUGGAACCCACUCUAAGCACCCUGCACCCCAGGCCAUGGCGGAUUGACGCACUGGAACGGUGAGUCAGAGGUCCCCAGGGGCCUGCCGUCACACACACACACACACACACACACACACACACCCGCAUCAAGAAGGCCCAAAGUUGCCACUUGACUGAGUCACCGGGGCUGAGGGGGGCCUCCUCUUCUGCAAGCAGCAAGAGAUUCAUCCUCUCAAAACCCAAAGGCCAAGAGAGUUUCGUUAUUAGUAAUACAUGUUACUCAUUAUCGUCAUUAUCGUUACUGUUAGUCGGCCGUCAUUGCUUAGUAUUUCCAGAACCAAAAACUAUAUUAGGCACUUGACAUUUGCUACCUUUGACCCUCCCCCGGUGCCUGGGGUGGGGACCCCGCACCCAUCCUGCAGAUGGAGAAAUGGAGGGCCGGGAAGAUGAACCGAUGGCCCUGCCUGUCACAAAAGGGAGACUUCUGCCCCGUGCUGGACAGAGAGCAACUCCAACGGGAAUACGUAGCAGCCUGAGGUCCCCUUACCUUGGUCUCCAGAAGGCACGCUGGGGGGUGGGGUUCUCACUGGGUCCGGGGACCGAUUCCCAGCAGCCUGGUGCCCCCGGGGGACUCCCUGCCCGCUGCUCGGCUGCAGGGGUGCACCUGAGAAGCCGUUUUUGUACUGUGUCUUUAUUGACGUGGGUAACUGAGGGCGCAAAGAAUGGGUGGCUAGCCCAGGGGAGCCAGCUCACUUCGGGACAGGGACCCAUGUUUUCUUUCAUAAAAAUACGAGCCGUGAGACAAAGUCUCUGGUUAACAAGGGGUGCGAUCUGGGUCUGUAGGGGCCUGUGGAAUCGGAGCCGGUCUGGACACCACAUAACGUAAAAUUAGCGACGUUCUCUGGUGCGCCCCCUCUCCCCGCAGACCAGCAGACUCCUGCUGGCGUGCCUUGGACCAAAAUUGCAGGGAGGAAAGAAGCCACAAGGACACAGAGUAACUAGGCUGGCCUCGAGAUAACAGAAUCUGGCUGGAGUGAGCUGCGCGCGUGAGUUUAGGAGCCCGGGCCUUGAGAGGCCUUUCAGCUUCUGCCUCUGCCCUCCUGGGACUCUGUCCGGAGCCCACCACGUACAGAAGCCCGGGCUGGCCUCCUGGAGGAUUAGAGACCACGCAGAGGGCGCGGCACCCAGCCCACGGCCAGCACCACCGCCGGCCGCAUGAGUGAGCGCCCAGGCCCUUCACACCCCGCCGAUCUCGCAGCCAACGACAGCCACGUGUGUGAGCCCAGAAGACACAGCAGAGAAACCCUCCAGACGAUCAUGGGAUAUCCCAGAUCAUUGUUUUAAAUCACUAAAUGGCGGCAAGGUUUUUUACGUGGAUAGACUGAUAGUUACAGACAUCAGCACUGGUGUCUGGGCGGUUUUCCGUAAUCCGGAGCUAAUUCGUGGGCGCUGGCGGCUGGAAGGACAGUGACGGGAUGGUCACUGGGAAUUGGCCCAACUUGGAGGCUGGAGAAAGGGGACCUGUUGUAUUGUGGCAGAACAAUUCCAAGACUAUCACCUACAGAUACUUGGAAGAUAGGAAAUGUACCAAAUGACCCUAGCUGGCUGACCCGGGAGCUUGCCAGGCAGAAUGUGGAGACAGCCAGCGGACUUCCUUUGCCGUGUGCAAUAGGUAGAAAAAAGAAACGAGCUUAAAAGAGCUCCGUUCGGGGGCGCCUGGAUGGCUCGGUCGGU